CACGUAGGAGGCGAGCGUUGUCCGGAAUCAUUGGGCGUAAAGAGCGCGCAGGCGGCUUGGCAAGUCGGGUGUGAAAUCCCGGGGCUCAACCCCGUGACUGCAUCCGAUACUGUCAGGCUAGAGGUAGGUAGGGGAGAUCGGAAUUCCUGGUGUAGCGGUGAAAUGCGCAGAUAUCAGGAAGAACACCCGUGGCGAAGGCGGCUCUCUGGGACGGUACUGACGCUGAGACGCGAAAGCGUGGGGAGCAAACAGG
rnacentral:rRNA from 1 species